rnacentral:rRNA from 1 species
UACGUAGGGCGCAAGCGUUUGUCCGGAAUUAUUGGGCGUAAAGAGCUCGUAGGCGGUUUGUCGCGUUCUGCUGUGAAAACCAGAGGCUCAACCUCUGGCCUGCAUCCGAAACUGCAUCGCUUGAGGUAGGUAGGGGAGAUCGGAAUCCUGGUGUAGCGGUGGAAUGCGCAGAUAUCAGGAGGAACACCGGUGGCGAAGGCGGAUCUCUGGGCCUUACCUGACGCUGAGGUGCGAAAGCUAGGGGAGCGAACAGG